rnacentral:rRNA from 1 species
CCCAUAAGGUUUUAAUGGGGGCACCGAGAGAUUGGGAUAGGUGCUUUAGGAGGGGAGGGGGAGAGGAGGGCGUGCGUGUGUGGUCCUCGUACCGCCGCCGCGCUCCUUGGUUGGCAGCGGCCGCGGCGGGACGUCGAGGAGAGAGGGAGACUGGGAGAGGCAUGGGUAGGGGGUCGAGGGAGGCACGCGGCGGGAGGAGGAGGGACCCGAGCACCGACCCGUCGGGCUGCGGGAGUGAGGGCGAGCAGCUGCGGAUCGACCGGCGGGCUGCGGAGCCGAGGCCGCGGUUGUUCGGGUUGCCGCGUCGUGGCCAGUCUCCCUAGGCGGGGUCGAGCAGGGCCUAGUCAAGCAGCCGGAGGGGAAGAGUGGAUCGAGCAGGUAGACGAGCUCAAGCAGGGCCUAGUCGGACUGCCGCCGCGAGGUAACGAACCGUGGCUGGCCUGGUCGAGCGCCGGAGGGGACGUUGGAGCGGAAGCUCACCGAGGAGACGGAGGUUGGGAGGUCAUGUAGAGGCCGCCGUUUUCAAGGGGAAGGGCCAGGUUCCUCUCGUUGAAGCUCUUCCUCCGCCGCUCCCGCUCGUCCCUCGCCUUCUCUACCUCUUGCCGCCGUCGUUUCCGCUGCAGGGCCUCCUGCGGUUGCGGGUAACGGGACCUUGCGUCAGCCUCCUCCGCCCCUUCCGGCUAAGGACGCGGCCCACGGGAUUGGUCGUCUAAACGCGGUGGCGGGGGUUCCCGGGGCUAGGACUGAACCAACGAUAACGACUCGCCUACCGAUGACACUUUGUGUUCUAUGACCAAAACAGUCCUUUCCCUCCACAACCUUUCUCGUGUAAAAGUCGGGUCGAGAGUAAACGGGAUCGACUUUACCUGGUAGUCCAACCGGAAGAGCUGUAUCUAUAUACACCGGGAUCGUAGGGCUUUUACAAUCCGGAACUUCCGGUCCUAUAAGUAGUCUCGUUGGAACCCACCAGUGGUUAGAUGCACCUCAGGUUGGAACCACAGUACAGCUAACCAAAAUACGACGGAUUGGGUCUACUACGACAGUAUACCUCCCCAGGAGCGUUCUUGCCUAACUAGUUUGUCAAAGAGUUCCUACAACUGACCCCACUCUAACUGAUGGAACAUCACCUACGUGGGGGACCUUGUAGUCUGCUCGUGUAGAGUUAGCAGGUCAUGGAUGUUCGGUGGCUUCAACUACCGCGCUAUUAGCACUGCUGGGGAGUCGUUCAGAGAGAAUAACUGCACUCCUUCCUUUAGUUAAAGACGUUCUUCCACCCACACGGCCACGACCCGCAACACCUCUUGUACUCACCGGACUCCGUCCGUAAGUGUCUGGAGUUCAAGCAUUUCGGUCCAGGACGUCCCCUCUGUCUACGGUGCCUCACCCGCUACUUGAUGUAGUUCCUCUUCCGAGGCCUCGAAAACAGCCAGCACCGGACGUCGCUCCACAAACUGUCGUCGUUCCCACCGCGUCUCUUCUACACGGUACUCUACCCCCAGGGAAAGGAGCCGUUCCACGGCUACCUGGGCGUCGACACGUUCCGUCGGCUCCUUCCCUCCAGCACGAAGCGGCUAGUCUCCACGUCGCGGUCACGCGGCCGAGACUUUUCGUAGUAGCUGUUCGACUAGUUUUGGUUCAUUCGUCUGUCACAAACACGGACAACCUCUUCAUGGUGAUCAGUUUUUACAAUGCUACUAUAGACCCUUCAGAGCAACAUGUUAACGAACAAUGUGCGGGCUCACCGAAAGUGAGACAAGAAUCAAAGGAUUUCGAAAAACCGAACACAUAGGCUCAAAACAAAGUCUUUAUAACUCGCAACUACGCUAUCUCCGACUUUCUCACAACGAUAUGUGUGCUGUACGGAACCUGCUAAACACCUGCUAUCAUGACUAGGUUGGCAUGGUCGCAACUCGUUUCACGUCCGGCUGGCGAUCUAGUUCCUAGCACGUCACAAGCCGACCGUACGUAGCCGACGCAUCAUCAAGGCUCCGACUUUAAUGUCUGAAGCCCGAACGUCUAAAAUUAGUAAAACCGAAACCCUUCAAUGUUAAUAAAACGACGUAAAUAAAAUCCUAAAGACUACUAAACAAAUCACCCUUCUCUACAAAACUACCUGAUACUCC